rnacentral:lncRNA from 1 species
GUAGCUGGGACUACAGGCGCCCGCCACCAUGCCCGGCUAAUUUUUUGUAUUUUUAGUAGAGACGGGGUUUCACCAUGUUAGCCAGGAUGGUCUCGAUCUCCUGACCUCGUGAUCCACCCGCCUCGGCCUCCCAAAGUGCUGAGAUUACAGGCGUGAGCCACCGCGCCCGACUGGAGUUUGUUUUGUAUUGCCAAGAUCAGAUUUCCACUAAUCAGAUUUACCUAGAAGUUAUAACCCUAAAGAAUUUCUAAAGAUGGAGAACUUUUUAGUAUGAGUCAAUGGUUUACUCUUGAAAUUUUAGAACUGAGUAAAAAUACAUAAGCACUUUAUCCUCAUGGCAUGUGGAAAACAGUUUAAAAUGGUCAAAAGCUAUCCACAAUUAGAAAAGUGGCGAGAAAGGGGCUUGAUAUGAGUUGGAUAUGAAGACACAAACAGUAUCUGAGGCAAGAAUAGAGGUCUCAUAUAUUUCCUGUGUUCUGUUCCAUUUCAGGAAGAAAGUUUCUAUUUAUCUCUGUAAAACGAUGGCAAAGCUGAUUAACAUAAGGAGGAAUUUAUUAAUUUAUACAAUAUCCCUUUAGUGAAUAAACAGUUUGGAAUAUGUUGUUGGUUCCAUGCAGAAUUUCAUACUGGGCAGCCAAAAUAAUGUCAUUUCCCAAACACCACAUGGUUUUUGGUCACUUAAGAGAUGUUUUAUUUGUUCUGAUGAAAGAUUUUAUGUGAGGGAUAAUCUGAUUAUUUCUUAAUUUAGACUAGCAUUUACAUUAGCCAAUCUCCUAGAAUCUGAGUCUCAGCCUUUUAUUUCAUAGGUCUGUGGAGAAAAGAAAGGGAACCACAUAGUUGGCCCUGGCUCAGCUCCCUUGAGCUGACAUGAAGAAAAAGGUCUUUGCCAUUUUAUUUUUAAAGCUAACUAGUUGGAAUUAAGAGGCAAAGUGGUCCAGAUAUUUAUAACAUUCUCACAGCUCUUUUAUGAAAUCUUAGAUUAAUCUUCUCAUCUGUUACCCCUGAAAUGAGUACUUUCUCUUGGAUAGUGUUGUGGUUAGGUUAAUUGGCUCAGCGCUUAAAUUGCCUAGCUUUGAGUCCCAGUUCCACCACCCAUUAGCUGUGGGACACAGGAUGAGUCAUUUGCCUCGUCUGUAUGAUAGAAAUCAUCAUACUAUUUCCUAUGGUGUUGUGAAGAUAAUGGGUUAAUGCAAAAGUUAGCAUUCAAAAGUCUGAUUUUGUGGUUGAUAAUAAUGACAUAUGAGGUUGAAUUGGACUUCACUUGAUGGGACUGGGCCUUUAAAAAAAACUACAGUUUUACUUCCAAAAUUUUGGAAGCCCUAGACUGGCA